rnacentral:rRNA from 1 species
CCUACGGGAGGCAGCAGUGGGGGAUAUUGCACAAUGGGGGGAACCCUGAUGCAGCGACGCCGCGUGGGUGAAGAAGCGCCUCGGCGCGUAAAGCCCUGUCAGCAGGGAAGAAAAUGACGGUACCUGAAGAAGAAGCCCCGGCUAACUACGUGCCAGCAGCCGCGGUAAUACGUAGGGGGCAAGCGUUAUCCGGAUUUACUGGGUGGAAAGGGGGCGCAGACGGCGAUGCAAGCCAGGAGUGAAAGCCCGGGGCCCAACCCCGGGGCUGCUCUGGGAACUGCGUGGCUGGAGUGCAGGAGGGGCAGGCGGAAUUCCUGGUGUAGCGGUGAAAUGCGUAGAUAUCAGGAGGAACACCGGUGGCGAAGGCGGCCUGCUGGACUGCAACUGACGUUGAGGCCCGAAAGCGUGGGGAGCAAACAGGAUUAGAUACCCCUGUAGUC